CAAGACUGUGUUGAGAGGAACACAUUUUCUUAGAAGAAUGGAGACAAGAUGAUUCCAACUUAAAGGAAACUGGAAGUAUUCUGAGGAAACAAAUAGAGAAGUUCUGUGACCCAUGUUUUGGUGAAGUAAUGAUGACACAGGGAUACCCUGCCUCAUGAACGCUGGUGUGACUUCUCUCUUCUGUUCUUACCACUGGACAUGAUGGCUUGAUGAAGUCAGGCCACCUCGCUCUUCUAUGCUCUCAGUUCCAUCUUCUCAACUCGGAAAGCCUGCCAAGGUCCUUACAACAUCACAGCUGGGAAACUCUCAAAGCAGUAAACUUGGGCAAUAGUAGGCUUCACUCACAUCAUUGUUGUGUAUUUCCAGGUAUCAUUGUUCUCCAUCAUUUGGUGUACAGUACUUUAAAAAAGUUUCAUAUUCUUUGUCCAUUUUUUUAUUUAUGUGUGAUAAGGCAUGUCCAGUUCCUAUUAGUUUUUCCAUAACAUCUUGAUUCAUUCCUCCUGCAAAUUCUCGAUGAUCACUCCAUCCCUGGCUAUAUGCUUCUUGUUCACAGUGUAAAGGAGAAUAAAGACCAAUGUAAGCUAAACUCACAGAGAGAUAGAUAAUUUUAUUGGCAUUUGUAAUGCUAAAGAGAAGGUCAGAAUUGGCCUAUGUACAGUAUCUGUAGAAGUUUCCAUAGGGGACAUCCACUAGAAGUCAGUGAAUCAAACAUUUAAAAUGGAUAAUAUCUCUAAAAAAAUAUACUGUCUCUGUCAAUUAUAAUAUUUGACUCAUAAUAGCCUUAUUUUAUACUCAUUGAAAAAGCCCUUCAGAAUUGGUAAGAUGUAGCUUUUAUUUACAUAAAAAUGAAAACAUGUUGAAAUUAAUUUGUCAAUGAAUUUCUAAGGAUACAAUGAUAUUCUAAUUUUUCUGAAUCAGAUCUUGAUCCAGAGUCAUGUAUAUCUUAACAUCACUCUGUGGAAUGAAGAGUGAUACGAGUGAAACAUUUCCUAAUACAAGAGGCACCACUGUCUGUGUAAUUUCCAACUUCCCUGUUGACACCCAG
rnacentral:lncRNA from 10 species